UUGUCGAGACCGAAACGGACGAUCGCGAACCCGUCAACGCUCCGGCGGGGGCAGAGGGAGGGCGGGCAUCUAAACCGCCCGACCCUGCCGCCCCGGAGCCCCAUGGCCGCCCCCGCCCCGCCUCGCUGCGGGACGGGCGGCGGGAACAAUACCCGGCGCGAUGGGCGCCAAGGAACAGUGCAGUCGGAGAGCGCCGCACGCCGGUUCCGGCAUGUGGUGCGAUCCUUCCAUACAUCUAACUUUUACGACUCUCGGCAACGGAUAUCUUGGCUCUCGCAUCGAUGAAGAACGUAGCGAAAUGCGAUACUUGGUGUGAAUUGCAGAAUCCCGUGAACCAUCGAGUCUUUGAACGCAAGUUGCGCCCGAGGCUAUCCGGCCGAGGGCACGCCUGCCUGGGCGUCACGCCUCGCGUCGCUCCGCGCACCCUGCCCCUCCCCAGAGCAGGGGAGACGGCGGACGCGGAUGCGGAGAUUGGCCCCCCGUGCCUUGCGGUGCGGCGGGUCGAAGUGCGGGUCGCCGGCCGGGACGGACGCGGCGAGUGGUGGACGGACACGUACGGCGCUGAACGCCGCCUCCGCUCGCGGCCCCAGCGAACCAUGCAAGGAACCCAUGCCGAGCACCCCUCGGAACACGACCCCA
rnacentral:rRNA from 2 species